rnacentral:rRNA from 1 species
UACGGGGGGAGCAAGCGUUGUUCGGAUUUACUGGGCGUAAAGGGCGCGUAGGCGGCCACCGCAAGUCGGUUGUGAAAUCUCUGGGCUUAACCCAGAAAGGUCAACCGAUACUGCGGGGCUAGAGUGCAGAAGGGGCAACUGGAAUUCUCGGUGUAGCGGUGAAAUGCGUAGAUAUCGAGGGGAACACCUGCGGCGAAGGCGGGUUGCUGGGCUGACACUGACGCUGAAGCGCGAAAGCUAGGGGAGCGAACGGG